rnacentral:rRNA from 1 species
UACGGAGGGUGCAAGCGUUAUCCGGAUUUACUGGGUUUAAAGGGUGCGUAGGUGGGUAGGAGAGUCAGUGGUGAAAUCUUCGGGCUUAACCCGGAAACUGCCAUUGAUACUAUUUAUCUUGAAUACUUUGGAGGUAAGCGGAAUAUGUCAUGUAGCGGUGAAAUGCUUAGAUAUGACAUAGAACACCAAUUGCGAAGGCAGCUUACUACACAGUUAUUGACACUGAGGCACGAAAGCGUGGGGAUCAAACAGG